GAUGAGGGAAGCACUGGGUAAGAUGAACCAUUCACAUUUCAUAGUCAGGAAACAACAACUUUUGUUCAAAGGAGACCAGGCAUGCAGCCUGAGAGGGUCUCUGGGCUAGAUGGCAGUAAGGUUGAAUUCAAUAUAUUUUCUCAAAUAUCUAUUAAACUAUCUUUUUGUGAGUGAAAAGACAUGACCAGGGGAACAGCUAUCCUGUUACAGAUCUGACUAAUGAUAAUUAGUAAUAAUUUAGCCCUUCUAUAGUCAAAAUUGGAAGCUAAGCUUCAAACUUAAGAUCUUGAAUUCAGUCUUUGUUUAGGCUGAGAUGUAGAAUUGGCCUUGACAUGCCUUGAGCCCUCCCUUUAACUUCUCCAGACUGGGAUUUUGGAACAGAACUGUCUUUGUGGCCACAGAGAAACCAUCCCUGUGUGCAGUGUCACAGCACACCAUGGCACGGAGCUGGCAAAAUGUAUGCAGGAACUGCAGAUGUUUCUGUUGAGCAGACAAGUGCAGACAACUGCAGAAAACUCUGUUGAGCAAGCAGUAAGAACAAACUCUUGCAAAAACACAGUAGGUGUCUGUGGCGUCAGUGAAAGCACCAGUGACUUUGCUGACUGGAAAAGUGUCGUGAUGAACCCAGUAUCCAAGGGAGGAACUGCAGUGCUAAUUACAAAUAAUAUUUCUAAACUGCUGUUAUUUAGGGUGGAAAUGUGAUGACUGAUUCCAGCAGCCUGCAGUUCUCUGCUCUUGACUGGCUCAUAACCUACAGCACCAAACCAGAGCACUGAGGGCAACAUUUUUUGCUUUCAUGGGACACAAGCCAUGAACAAAACUAACUCCAGGAACUCCUUCCACCUACUAAUUCAGUUUCCAUUAGCCAACUGGGUUUCCAAGAGCCCAUAUUUAUGGCAAUCUUCUCUUAUUAGCCAAGUGAUCCUUAGGAUUAAAUAUUCACAAAGGUACAAUUAGAUUCCACUCUUUGUUUUGGCAGUGGUUUGACCCAAAAAUCCUUACCUGGAAGGGGGGAAAAUUGCACCGCAAGGAUGUUGCAUAGCCUGACACCAAACACUUUCAUUUCCUCUUGUUUGAGGCUUGUUAGACUCAUUGCUGAGUCAUCACUGAAAGAAUCUGAGCUUUUUGUAAGGAAACAGCACUAGUGAAAUCUCAGCAAAGCUGAAGGAAAUCCCAGAUGUGUCUGAUCUACCUCUGUUUUAUUUGGUGAGAGAAAGCUUUAGGUGUUUGAUACCCUGAAGAUGUUUUUUUUCAAACUCCCCUUCUGUGUCAUCAUAAACAGAUUAUAUGUAAAUAGCACUUUUAACGUAAAAAGCAUUUGAACAUCUUUGGCUUUCAGCUGUAGUUAGAAAUUUUGGUCAGUACAUGUUGUUUGUGUCUUAGCUUUUCAAACUACCAUUACUUUUACUGAGAGUGCUUUUAUAUGAAACCCAGCAUCAGAACAGCUCUCAAGUUGCUGCUUCUUCCUCUGCAUAGAGGCACCUUUGUGACCUUUACACAGCAGGACACUGCAUGCCCAGCAGCUCAGAUGGAUAUUGGAAAGUUUAGCAGAUCUUAGAGGCCAUAUCCACUUCAAAAUUAAUUUAAUUGCACAUAAAUUGCAUUUACCCACAGACUGUUAUGGAGUGUUCCAACUGUAUGAUUAUUACAGGCUAUGAAAAACAAGCUAAGAGAUGACUCAAGUGAUCUGCCUUGCAGAUGUUUGAUGUUCACAAUCCCAUUCUCACGUGCUUGCAGGAAUUCUCAUGUAGCAGUUGCCAUUGUCACCAUUUUCCUUACUGCCUUUGACAAGCUGUGGCUGCUGCAAGACAGACACUGAGACUCCAGACACAGGAAAGGUUAGGCUGGAGCAGAGGACUAAGAUUAGCAGUUCUCUGUGUGUUUGGGAGUGUGAGUGUAAGAUAUUUUUAAAAUUGUGUUUGGAAAGCUAUGCCCAAGCAGGGGGUUUACUUUUCUGUUUUAGACACAUUAGUGGUUUUGAAUUCCAUUCCUUGUAAUGAGUCAGAUAACUCCCAUUUCUGAGUAAUGUGAUUAAAUAUGGAAAACAGAGAGCCUCCAGGCUCAGGAGUGUAACAGCUUCUGAUGAACACAAAAUCCCUCAGAAAUGGGAUGGGAUAAAUCCUUUCUCCAAGUUACUGUGCAGCAGACACUGCAAGAGCCCCGGGUGCACUUGGAGCUUUGCCCUGGCCCAUGGCCUCACUGUUACAGUACUGGGCACCCUAAGCAGUAGAAAAUCCUGAACUCUGCUUCAAGGAAAAAGCACGUUCAACACUCACGAACUUUUUCAACAUUUCCUUCAUACUCUCACUUAAUGAUUUUUUUUUUCACUCUGAUCACAGAAAGUCUUCAUUUUUUCAUAAUUGCUAUAGUCCCUAAAUAGUUCUCAAAAUGAGAAUUGAGACCCUUUCUACCAUGUCUCAAGUUCCAUUGGCCUCCUCAGUGAAUCUCCUUGAACUGCAAGGUAAACAAUAUCCUGAAGGAACUCCACAUAACGUCAAAUUGAAACAAACAAAUCGAAGCUGACUUUUCAAUUGGAAGGAAGACAGGUGAUGGCUGUCUUUUGAGGCCUGCCUGGGAUGCUUCUCCAUCCUCCUCUCCCAACGACCUGUGCAGCCAGACCUCAGAUAUCAGGACAAGAUCUGAGUGGUACUUCAAGUGCUCGUAAGAUGUUGCUGCCCAACCCUGGCAGUUAAUAGCGAUGACAAUUAUCCAGAAGCGUGAGAUGAAAGCUAAGGAAGCGAGGGGAUUCUUCAAGUCCUCAGGACCAGAAACAGCUCGGAGUCCAUGGAGUGAAGGAAGUUAACCUUCGUUAUCGUGAGGAUGGCUGUAAGGAGCUGGACAACCUGUCACCACCGGAGCAAUCGCAUUUGGCAGCUUGCAGGUCUCCAGUCAAGCUGGCACUGCCUCAGCCUGCUGCUGGUGUAGGUGUGCACAUCUUGCUGUAGCUGACACUGCGAUGGACUCGUUUCCCUCGGAUUACACAAAAGGAAGAAUAUUGGAAGACUUAAGCUACAAUACUUAGAAAGAGAAUGCAAAUAUUACGGUAAGUGGGACCGUGAAACUUCGAAAUUUGAACUAAAAUUUAGACAUUAUGCCCUUAAAGUAUAUACUUAUAUUGGCCAGUGACUUCCACUGGGAACCAACUUACUCAUCUGAGGGUUUGACUUGGAGGAAAGGGAAGCAGGGAAAGUAAGAGCUUUGACUUAUUGUCCAGGGAAGGCCAGCGAAAGAACUCAGUGGGAAGAAAGUUUUCCCGAGUUUUCCCAGCUGUAGUCAAGAUAAUAAAGUUUAAAAUCCAAGAAUUUGGUUCCCAAGAAUAAGUUUCCUGAAA